GUGCCAGCCGCCGCGGUAAUACGGAGGAUCCGAGCGUUAUCCGGAUUUAUUGGGUUUAAAGGGUGCGUAGGCGGCCUGUUAAGUCAGGGGUGAAAUACGGUGGCUCAACCAUCGCAGUGCCUUUGAUACUGACGGGCUUGAAUCCAUAUGAAGUGGGCGGAAUAAGACAAGUAGCGGUGAAAUGCAUAGAUAUGUCUUAGAACUCCGAUUGCGAAGGCAGCUCACUAAGCUGGUAUUGACGCUGAUGCACGAAAGCGUGGGGAUCGAACAGGAUUAGAUACCCUGGUAGUCCCACGCCCUAAACGAUGAUAACUCGAUGUUGGCGAUAGACAGCCAGCGUCCCAGCGAAAGCGUUAAGUAUCCACCUGGGGAGUACGCCCGCAAGGGUGAAACUCAAAGGAUUGACGGGGCCCGCACAAGCGGAGAGCAUGUGGUUUAAUUCGAUGAUACGCG
rnacentral:rRNA from 1 species